GAUGAACGCUGGCGGCGUGCUUAACACAUGCAAGUCGAACGGAAAGGCCCAAACUUGCUUGGGUACUCGAGUGGCGAACGGGUGAGUAACACGUGGGUGAUCUGCCCUGCACUUCGGGAUAAGCCUGGGAAACUGGGUCUAAUACCGGAUAGGACCACUUCUUCGUUGUUGUGGUGGAAAGUUUUUUCGGUGUGGGAUGAGCUCGCGGCCUAUCAGCUUGUUGGUGGGGGAGUGGCCUACCAAGGCGUCGACGGGGAGCCGUCCGGAGAGAGUGUACGGCCACACUGGGACGGAGAGACGGCGCAGAGUACUACGGGAGGCAGCAGGGGGGAAUAUUGCACAAUGGGCGGAAGCCUGAUGCAGCGACGCGGCGUGGGGGAUGACGGCUUGCGGGUUGUAAACUCCUUUCGACAAAGACGAAUUUAUGACGGUAUUUGGAGAAGAAGCACCGGCUAACUACGUG
rnacentral:rRNA from 1 species